GGAGGAAGAAAAGGAGCCUGCAUAUAUUCAUUGAGGUCAAUUAUUUACUCACUUACAAGAAAAAGUCAGUUAAAUCUCCAAAACUACCUAUUUUGAUUGUAUGUCUCACAUGCAGUGCACACUGGUGAAAGCUAUGGGCUCCCAAGGCCUUAGGCAGCUCCGCUUCUGUGGUGCAGCAGAGCUCAGUCCCCAAGCUGUUCUCAAAGGCUUGUAUUAAGUGCCUGUGGCUUUUCCAGGUGCAAGAUACAAGCUGUUGGUGUAUCUACAAUUCUGGGGUCUGGAGGAUGGUGGCCCUAUUCUCACACCUCCACUAAGCAGUACUCCAGAGAGAACUCUUUGUGGGGGCUCCAAACCCACAUUUCCCCUCCACACUGCCCUAAGAAGAGGUGCUCCAUGAGGGCUCCACCCCUGCAGUCGGCUUAUUCCUGGACAUCCAGGCUAUUCCAUAUGUCUUCUAAAAUCUAGGUGGAGGCUCCCAAG
rnacentral:lncRNA from 10 species